CGGGGCGUGGCGUAGUUUGGCUAGCGCGUCUGUUUUGGGAACAGAAGGUCAUAUGUUCGAAUCAUAUCGUCCCGA
rnacentral:tRNA from 1 species